rnacentral:rRNA from 1 species
CCCCAGACUCCUACGGGAGGCAGCAGUGGGGAAUAUUGCACAAUGGGGGAAACCCUGAUGCAGCGACGCCGCGUGAGCGAUGAAGUAUUUCGGUAUGUAAAGCUCUAUCAGCAGGGACGAAGAUGACGGUACCUGACUAAGAAGCCCCGGCUAACUACGUGCCAGCAGCCGCGGUAAUACGUAGGGGGCAAGCGUUAUCCGGAUUUACUGGGUGUAAAGGGAGCGUAGACGGCGGCGCAAGCCAGAUGUGAAAGCCCGGGGCUCAACUCCGGGACUGCAUUUGGAACUGUGUGGCUGGAGUGUCGGAGAGGCAGGCGGAAUUCCUAGUGUAGCGGUGAAAUGCGUAGAUAUUAGGAGGAACACCAGUGGCGAAGGCGGCCUGCUGGACGAUGACUGACGUUGAGGCUCGAAAGCGUGGGGAGCAAACAGGAUUAGAUACCCUCGUAAA